rnacentral:lncRNA from 1 species
CUGCUGGGGCGAGCGAGGGGCAGCCCCGGCCAGAGGCGGAGGAGGAGGAGGAGGACGGAGAGGGGGAGGAAGAUGGUGGAGCUGGAGGCAACAGCGGCCAGAGGGAAGGCUCGUGCCCAGGCUGGCCGCCCACCCUGUCAUUACCUCCGCGCCGCCUGCUAACGUGGGCCCCGCCAGACCCCAGCUGUCAGGCUCCAAGGCUGAGUUGCAUCUGCUGACAUUGGUGGGUCUUAUUGCCCCUGCCUCUGAAUGAACUGAAUACCGUGGUGCAGCAGAGAGUUCAAGGCUGGGAAUCAGGAGAGACGGGGAUUUGAAUCUGCCUGCCUCUGAUGCUUACAGACUGCCUGAUCCAGGGUAAGUCAUAAAAAUUUCUGUAUAAAUGUCAACUCUGCUAAUUUCCUGCUCUGCUGCCUCACCCUA